UGGGGAAUCUUGGACAAUGGGGGCAACCCUGAUCCAGCCAUGCCGCGUGAGUGAUGAAGGCCUUAGGGUCGUAAAGCUCUUUCGCCUGUGAAGAUAAUGACGGUAGCCGUAGAAGAAGCCCCGGCUAACUUCGUGCCAGCAGCCGCGGUAAUACGAAGGGGGCAAGCGUUGUUCGGAAUUACUGGGCGUAAAGGGGCGUGUAGGCGGUCUAAUCAGUCAGAGGUGAAAGCCCUGGGCUCAACCCAGGAAUUGCCUUUGAUACUGUUAGACUAGAGUUCGGGAGAGGAUAGUGGAAAUUCCCAGUGUAGAGGUGAAAUUCGUAGAUAUUGGGAAGAACACCAGUGGCGAAGGCGGCUAUCUGGACCGAUACUGACGCUGAGGCGCGAAAGCGUGGGGAGCAAACAGGAUUAGAUACCCUGGUAGUCCACACCGUAAACGAUGAAUGCCAGUCGUCGGGUAGCAUGCUAUUCGGUGACACACCUAAC
rnacentral:rRNA from 1 species